rnacentral:rRNA from 1 species
UACGGGGGGGGCAAGCGUUGUUCGGAAUUACUGGGCGUAAAGGGCUCGUAGGCGGCCAACUAAGUCAGACGUGAAAUCCCUCGGCUUAACCGGGGAACUGCAUCUGAUACUGGAUGGCUUGAGUUUGGGAGAGGGAUGCGGAAUUCCUGGUGUAGCGGUGAAAUGCGCAGAUAUCAGGAGGAACACCUAUUGCGAAGGCAGCUCGCUGGGACGUAACUGACGCUGAGACGCGAAAGCGUGGGGAGCAAACAGG